CCAGGGGGCAGCUACACAUGCAGUCGAGCGAGAACUUCGGUUCUAGCGGCGGACGGGUUAGUAACGCGUGGGAACGUGCCCUUCACUACGGAAUAGUCCCGGGAAACUGGGUUUAAUACCGUAUACGCCCUUCGGGGGAAAGAAUUUCGGUGAAGGAUCGGCCCGCGUUAGAUUAGAUAGUUGGUGGGGUAACGGCCUACCAAGUCUACGAUCUAUAGCUGGUUUUAGAGGAUGAUCAGCAACACUGGGACUGAGACACGGCCCAGACUCCUACGGGAGGCAGCAGUGGGGAAUCUUAGACAAUGGGCGCAAGCCUGAUCUAGCCAUGCCGCGUGAGUGAUGAAGGCCUUAGGGUCGUAAAGCUCUUUCGCCAGGGAUGAUAAUGACAGUACCUGGUAAAGAAACCCCGGCUAACUCCGUGCCAGCAGCCGCGGUAAUACGGAGGGGGUUAGCGUUGUUCGGAAUUACUGGGCGUAAAGCGCGCGUAGGCGGAUUGGAAAGUUGGGGGUGAAAUCCCAGGGCUCAACCCUGGAACUGCCUCCAAAACUAUCAGUCUAGAGUUCGAGAGAGGUGAGUGGAACUCCGAGUGUAGAGGUGAAAUUCGUAGAUAUUCGGAAGAACACCAGUGGCGAAGGCGGCUCACUGGCUCGAUACUGACGCUGAGGUGCGAAAGUGUGGGGAGCAAACAGGAUUAGAUACCCUGGUAGUCC
rnacentral:rRNA from 1 species